rnacentral:rRNA from 1 species
AUACGUAGGGUGCGAGCGUUGUCCGGAAUUACUGGGCGUAAAGAGCUCGUAGGUGGUUUGUCGCGUCGUCUGUGAAAUUCCGGGGCCUAACUCCGGGCGUGCAGGCGAUACGGGCAUAACUUGAGUACUGUAGGGGAGACUGGAAUUCCUGGUGUAGCGGUGAAAUGCGCAGAUAUCAGGAGGAACACCGGUGGCGAAGGCGGGUCUCUGGGCAGUAACUGACGCUGAGGAGCGAAAGCAUGGGUAGCGAACAGGAUUAGAUACCCUGGUAGUCCAUGCCGUAAACGGUGGGCGCUAGGUGUAGGGGUCUUCCACGACUUCUGUGCCGUAGCUAACGCAUUAAGCGCCCCGCCUGGGGAGUACGGCCGCAAGGCUAAAACUCAAAGGAAUUGACGGGG